AAGCGUUUAUGACCAGACUUGGGCUUGGUUAAUCAUCUGGGGUUCUCUCCAGUGCACUUUUCCAGUCCAGGCCAGCAUCAGUUUUCGCCGGGGGAUAAAGGCUUCGGGAAUGUGGCUCCCCUCGGGGAGUGUUAUAGCCC
rnacentral:rRNA from 1 species